GUCUCUCUGUCACUUGUGCUUAUUGCGGUAUUCAUGGCAUUAUAGUGAGACUCUGAAAGAUAUUUGUAAUGUCGAAUUAGUGUUUUAGACAUUCCAUCUGGUUUAACAUAUUGAAAUAUAAUUGUGCAUUUAACUCACUGGAAUUGAUUGCUGAGUACAUCCAUUGCAGAGACAGACUCCAUCGAGUUUAUUGGGCAUGUACUUCUUCUGAUUGAAUUGUAUCAGUCUGACAUGAAUUUGACAUGAGUCUUAAAGCCAACAGGAGCAGAACUAUGUGUGGAGUUUUAUCUGAGGAGGUGAAUGGACCUGGAUAAGAAAUUUAGAACUGCAGCAGCACUGGAAAUGAGUGGGAUGAACAGCAUCUCAGCAAGUUACUGUUGGCAUGGCCAUUCUGGCACCCCUGACUGGGAAGAGUGUUUGUGCAGGUCUUCCUUGCAUCCAGCUGUGGCUGGGUCUGGCCACCCGAAAGAACCAUGUUGCCUGAUUUGAAGCACAAGCUUUGAUCAUACAAGUCCAUUUGUUAUAUUGCUUGUCACUCACCAAUGAACAAGCUUCAGCUGUGAGAGGAGCCUGACACAAUCACUCCAGGCAUCCAAUGUAGAGGAAAGGUAAGUUAGAAUAGGAAAUCCAAUUUUGAAGUCUCUAGAAAUAUGGCAAUGUGGUUUUAGAAGUGUUUUUGUGGGUUCCUAGAUAUGUCAGGAAGUUCUGCUGCAUCCUCAUAGGCAGGGCAGAGCAUUCAUUGACCUGUCCACUCAAAAGCUGCAGGAAGAGUGAGAGUUGCUCUGGGCCUGCAAUACAACAUCAGGAUGGAGCAGAGAGGUUGCAUAGAAGGUGAGUUCUGCAUGAAACAAAAUGGAGCAGGCUCCUUCUUACUCAUGGACAGUGUCAAGAGGCUGUUUGGCCCAUCAGCCAAUGUCCCCAGCAUCUCAGUGUGCAACUUUGCAUGACCUAGCAAGCCUCUCAGAAUGAGAGUACUUAGGAUCGGCAACAAAUACCAACCUUGCCAAUGAUACUCACUUCCAAUGAGAGAGUAAAUAAAUUAUGAGACUGUAUCAGUCCAUAGUCUCUUUGCUAUAUUACAUUUCCAAAUGCACAGUAGAGGUUCCAGCAAAGCAGAAGCAGAAUUUCAAGAAAAGCCUGGCUGAAUGGGAAGAAGCUCAGAAAGAAGUAAAAGCCAAAGUCUUUUUCCCAAGGUAGGGGAGUCCAAAACUAGAGGGAAUAGGUUUAAGUUGAGAGGGAAAUAUUUAAAAGGGACCUGAGGGGAGUUUUUUUUCACACAGAGGGUGGUACAUAUACAGAACAAGCUGCCAGAGGAAGUGGUAGAGAGCCGGUGCAACUACAACAUUUAAAAGACAUUUGGACAGGUACAUGGAUAGGAAAGAUUUAAAGGGUUAUGGGCCAAAUGCAGGAAAAUGAGACUAGUACAGUUUAGGAAAACUGGUCGGCAUUGAUGAGCUGUACUGAAGGGUUUGUUUAUGCACUGUAUGACUCUCUGAUUCUCUAAGUCUUUACACUGAGUAUUAUUACGGUUCAAUUGAAUACAACAUCCCACAAAGAAGCUCUGAAUCAACUGGUAUAGAAUCAGUCACGUGUGUCAUUUCUGUUUUUGGUCAUUUUACAAUUUGUUACAAAUGACUAUUCAUGUAUAUUCUGUACAACAAAGAAUGAUUUAGAAACUGAUAUCUCUUAUCUCUUAUGGGCAACAAGCCUUCAGAAAGGCCAAGAAGGCAGCUCAGCAGGACAAGAGUGAAGUCCAUUCUGCCUAGCUAGAGGGAAAACUAGCAAUUAUUUUAGGAUAAUAAAAUGUGAGGCUGGAUGAACACAGCAGGCCAAGCAGCAUCUCAGGAGCACAAAAGCUGACGUUUCGGGCCUAGACCCUUCAUCAGAGAGGUUAUUUUAGGAAAUGUAUUAGAAAUUUCAAGUUAAUUCGAUGAAAUUACAAUCUUGAAGUAAUACUCUAAGUAUUGAGGAAACACAGAUCCAAAAUAUAAUUUGAUGAUUUGGCUUUAUUUCUAGCUCCUUUUUUGCUCAGUUUUUUCAAGCUAAAUAGAGUAACUCAAAAUUAUACCUCUUUUGCUUUAGAGUGGUAGAUAUCCGUGCAUAUUACAUGACUAUUCAAACCAUUUCAAAUGAUAUUUUUGCUGUCAGUUAUAUGCCUUUAUAACUUUUUUUUCCUAAACAUUCACACCUUGAAGCCAAUUUAUGGACAUAUUUCUAAAAUCGAAUCAGUACCUGGUUUGGUGGUAUUAAAUACUCUUUGGCUACUCUCAAUAUUUAAACAUUUCUUUGCAUGCUCCUGUGUUAACUGUGCCAUAAAUGAAGUUUGCUAAACAUAUUUUUAAGUUGGUGCAAAAUGCAUUUGUCAUUGAAAAGAUCACAUGCUUCUGAAUCAGAUAUUCUCAUGUGACCUUGGCAAUCAAUGCACUUCAUAGACCAUAAUGUAUGACACUGAAGAGUGUAAAAUAGGAAAUGUGGAGUAGCUGUGUAACUGUGUAAGAUACUUACCUUGAUACGUGGUCAAUUGAGAUUUCAUAUUAGAUUAUAAAUAAAUUCAAAAAGAACAUGGGAACCUCUUGUUGUCACCCCUCAACCUCCUAAAUUCCAGUGGAAAAAGGUCCCAGCCUAUACAACCUAUUUUUAUAAUUCACACCCUCCAUUCCCAGCAGCAUCCUGGUAAAUCCUUUCUGACCCCUCUCCAAUUUAACAAUACGCUUCCUGUAGCAGGGCAAUCAGAACUGCACACAGAAGAGGCCACAGUAAAAAUCUGUACAGCCUCAAUGUGAUGUCCCAACUCCAGUGCUCAAUGACUUGAGCAAUGAAUGCAGGUGUGCUGAACACUUUCUUAAUUACCCUAUAAUGCAAAUUUCAAAGAAUUUAUGAAGAAUUGUAGAUGAUGUGAAUCUCAGAAGUUGGUAAUUUAGCUAAAUUGAUCUGAAUUUACACAGGUAACCUGUGCUUCUUCUCCUGAUUCUAUUUAACUUUGUAUUAGUUUCUUCUUCACCUGUUUAGUUAGCUUCCUCUUCCGUAUAUAUGCUAAUUUACUUUGGUACUCCUUGUUGUCGUGAGUUCCACUUUCUUACCAUUUUUUUCAAAGAAGGUUUCUGUAACUUCCUUAUUAGACUUAUUGAUGACUGCCUUCCAUUUUGAGCCCAAACUUUGAUGUGUAUCAUAAAUGGCUGGACACAUUUGCAUCUACCUUAUCAAACUGCUUCAUGAUUCUAAAGGCCUCUGUUAAGCCACCCCUUAGUCUUCUCUUUGCCAGAUAAAAAGCCUCAGUUUCAUUUCCAUUUUAUAAAAAGCAUUCCUGUGAUUCUGUGUCAUUCCUAUAGCAUGAAGACCAGAACAGAGUUUUCCAAAUCAGUCAUUAGGUUUAAAGUAACUAAUCAAAGACCCAUAGAACUGCAGAGUCAGAAGGAAGUUAAUCAGCAAACAAUACUGCUACCAGAUCUCUGAAAAGAUCUACUAGUCAAUCUCACUUCCUAGCCUCUACCCAUACUUCUGCCAAUGAUUCCUUUUUCAGGAGCGAUCCACCUCUCUGUUGAAAGUUAUCUUCAAAUUUUUCCCAUACCCUUUCAGGCAGUAUAUUUCAGAUCAUAAUAAUUAACUGAAAGCUGAACAUUUUCCUCAUCUCCCUGAUGGAUAUUUGGCAUUUAUUUUAAAUACGGAUCCUUUGGAUACAAAUCCUUCUGCCAGUCAAGGUUGUUUCUUCUGAUCAACUCUAUAGAAACCCCUCUUAAAGUUGAACAAUACAACCAGGUAACCUUUUAACUUUCCUUGUUCAAAUGGAGGCUAAGGAAAGAGAAGGAAAUAAAAAAGAACUGCUGAUGCUGGACAUCAGAAACAAAAAUAGAAAUUGCUAGAAAAAUUCUGCUGCUCUGGCUGAAUUGGUGGAGAGAAAGCAUUAACAUUUUGGGUGCAAUGACUUCUUCAGAACAGAAGUUCAUUACUUCCCAUCAUCACAAUCUGUCUACCUUAAUAAGCAAGCUAAAUCACACAGGCAGGCAGUCAGUAACUUAGAACUCAAUACUUUCUGAAGUAGUAAAACAAUGUAAUUCAUAGAGGCCGAAUAUCUCCAUGUCAUCUCCUUAUUAUUUCUCAUUUUGGAGUUCAACAGAAAUUUGCCAAACUGAUUUCAGGAAUGACAAGACUGAUUUUUGAAGAGAAACUGGACCAGUUAGGAUUAUGUUCACUGGAGUUUGGAAGAACACGGUGGCAGGAGGGAAGAGGGGUGGUGGUGGUGCUUUCAUAGAAUCCUAUAAAAUUCCAUGAGGGCUGGACAGGGUAAGUAUAAGAUGUUCUCAAUGGCCAGGCAGUCAGAGCCAGGGGCUACCGUCCAAGGACAGAGAGAGUGGUCCACGUAGAACUGGGAUGAGGAGAAAUUUCAUGACCCAGAGAGUACUGGGUCUGUGGAAUUCUCUGCUACAGAAUUGAUUGAUGCCAAAGCAUUGAAACAUGUUUCAAAUAUUUCUUAUGACUAAAGGAAUCAAAGGGUAUGUAGAGGCAGCAGGAUCAGGGUAUUGAGUAGAAUGAUCAGCCAUGAUCAUUUUGAAUGGCGAGGCAGACUCAAAGAACUGAAUGGCCUACUCUUGUUCCAACUUCUUAUGUUUAAAUGUAAAUGCUAAAGAGAGAGAACACUAAGAAAAUGAGCUAAAAGCUGUUGGUUGCAUAUGUCCACUUCAAGGCAGAAGCAUCCAGUACAAAUACUUGACUGUCACUGCGCACACAGUGACCUAGCAGAAGUAUACAAGUUGUAGGUGGCCUUGAGCUCCAAAGUAGAGUAUUGAAGGUCUGAGAUGGUGACUAGCUAAGUCUAUGAAUCAUAAUUAUGUGGUGAGGCUAGUGGUUUGGCAGUGCUGAGUUGGGUGGUUGAAGGAUCAUGCUGGUGGACAAUGAAGAGAUGUUGUGCAGAAGAACCAAUUGCGUGCUGGUGCCACAGACAUUUGGUGCACUGCAGCCACCAUGUACAUGCCCUGUUUUAUCUAUCAGAUCAAUGGGCCAACUAGUUUCUCAUUGGAGGCGAAUAGAGUUGGAAGUCUAUUGUAAGUAGGACAACUUCGGGAAAUUAAUUGUUUAUAAAUACAUGGAUGCAAGUUAACUGCCUCUGAAGCAUAAGAUUCUGAGGUUUCCACUUAAGGCUUGAAUGGAGAACCAACCAAUUUGUAUUUUCUCAACAUCGAAAAUCUGAUUUUUUUAUUUCUCAAUAUAUUUAGUCACUUUACUUUGCAUAACUCUUGCCACACACGGAAGAGGAAAUGUACAUGUAUAAUUAUAGAAGGAUGUGGGGUCUAAUAUUUUGUCAUGCAAUCUGUUUGUUCCUUUUAUUUGUUUUCUCAGUUUUCAUCUGUACUUUCUGUAAUCUCCAUAAAUCUGUAUGUUUUGAUGCACCUGACAUUAAUUAUUUUCUGCUGUUUCACAUUUCGUCUCAAAGUCUUCAAACAUUGUGGAACCCAGACUUACAUGUCAAUCCUUUUCCCCUCUUUUCAAUGUGGCUGAUGCUUAAUUGAACAAAAUCAUUGGUUCUCAACCUACUGUUAUUUUAUAUAUUAUUCUACCUCCAAAACUUUAUUUUCAAUAUUCCUUACUUUCUCUUUUUUCUGUAUAAUAGUUUUAUGUUUGUUUUUUUUUGUGUUUUUGUUAAAUCAUAAUGUCAAAAAGAACCAAUUGGAAGGAUUCUUCCAAUGUCAGUAUGGGCUAAGCAGCAGCCAAUAAUGAAAAAUGUUUUGACACAAACGUUUUUAAAAAGCCUCCCUAAAACAUCAGGAGGAGCAGGAGUAUCCUUUGGCUGUGAACAUAGCAGGUAUGGUUAGUAAAUUUGCAGAUGACAUCAAAGAUGGAGGUGUAGUGGACAGCAAAGAAAAAUUACCUCAGAAUACAACAGAAUCUUGGUCAGAUGGGCCAAUGAGCUGAGGAGUGGCAAAUGGAGUUUAUUUUAGAUAAAUGAAAGGUGCUGCAUUUUGGAAAGGUAAAUCAGGGUGUGACUUAUACACUUAAAUGGUGAGGCCCUGGGGAGUGAUGCUAAACAAAGAGACCUUGGUAUGCUGGUUCAUAAUUCCUUGAAACUGGAGUGCCAGGUGGACAAGAUACUGAAGAAGGUGUUUGAUGUGCUUGCCUUUAUUGGUCAGUGCAUUGAAUAAAGGAGUCGGGAGGUUAUGUUGUGGCUGUACAGGACAUCGGUUAGGCCACUUUUCGAAUACUGCAUGCAGUUCUGGUCUCCCUGCUAUAGGGAGGAUAUUGUGAAACUUGAAAGGGUUCAGAAAAGAUUUACAAGGAUGUUGCUGGGGUUGAAGGGUUUGAGGUACAGGGAGAGGCUAUAUAUGCUGGGGCUAUUUUCCCUGGAGCACCGGAGGCUGAGAGAUGGCCUUAUAGAGGUUUAUAAAAUCAGGAGAGACAUGGAUAGUAUAAAUAGACCCUGGGGUGGGGGAGUCCAAAACCAGAUGGUGUAGGUUUAAGGUGAGAUUGGAAGGAUUUAAAAGGGAUCUAAGAAGCAUUUCUUUUCACACAGCGGGUAGUGCAUGCAUGGAAUGAGCUGCCAGAGGAAGUGGUAGAGGCUGGUUCAAUUACAACAUUUAAAUGCCAUCUGGAUGGGUAUAUGAAUAAGAAUGGUAUAGAAGGAUACGGGCCAAAUGCUGGCAAAUGAGACUAGAUUUAUGUAGUAUAUCUGGUUGGCAUGGAUGAGUUGGACCAAGGGUCUGUUUCCAUGAUGUGCAUCUCUAUGACUCUAUGACUCCACGAUUUGUCCUGAGAGUUGUAUUAUUACCCACUCUAGCACUGCUCCUGAGAAGAAGAUUUCAGCUCUUGUGCAAGUGAGGUCAGUGAUCUAGCGAACGGAUUAUCACAUGAGAGAGUUGCCUCUGGAGGCAACCUGGGUGUCGAUUUCUCAUGCACAAAAUGUUACCAAGGCAUGUGGAUGACACGCAACACAUCCUCACACCCUGCCCCCACCACAACCGCCCAAAGAGGACCCCCUCGUUCUCACACACCACCCCACCAACCUCCGGAUACAACGCAUCAUCCUCCAACACUUCUGCCAUCUACAAUCCGACCCCACCACCCAAGACAUUUUUCCAUCCCCACCCUUGUCUGCUUUCCGGAGAGACCACUCUCUC